rnacentral:rRNA from 1 species
GACGAACGCUGGCGGCGUGCUUAACACAUGCAAGUCGUACGGUAAGGCCCUUUCGGGGGUACACGAGUGGCGAACGGGUGAGUAACACGUGAGUAACCUGCCCACAACUUUGGGAUAACGCUAGGAAACUGGUGCUAAUACUGGAUAUGUGCUCCUGCUGCAUGGUGGGGGUUGGAAAGCUCCGGCGGUUGUGGAUGGACUCGCGGCCUAUCAGCUUGUUGGUGGGGUAGUGGCCUACCAAGGCGGCGACGGGUAGCCGGCCUGAGAGGGUGACCGGCCACAUUGGGACUUAGAUACGGCCCAGACUCCUACGGGAGGCAGCAGUGGGGAAUAUUGCACAAUGGGCGCAAGCCUGAUGCAGCAACGCCGCGUGCGGGAUGACGGCCUUCGGGUUGUAAACCGCUUUCAGCAGGGACGAAGCUUUUUGUGACGGUACCUGCAGAAGAAGCACCGGCUAACUACGU